UGAUAUCAAACUCCAAAGAAGAAUUCCACACUUUUACCAGUGGAGGGGCAAACCUUGGAUAAUCAAUAUAUUUGCACGUCUUGCUCAACGAGAAGACCUCUCCAACCAUCUAGAAUAAUUUGAAUUAAAUGUUAACUGCAGGAAAAACUUCCAUUAGGCAAUGACUAGCUGAUUUUCUUUGGAAUUUUGCUCAUUUACCGCACCACUGAAAUGUCCCUGGAAACGUGGAAAAAUCUAAGCGUUGAUUAUUUCAUCCGCAAAGGCUCAUGAGUCACUCCCAUUUUUUGCGUUAAUUGUUUUUCACACGACCAAAAAAACCAAAUGGAAAUGGAAAAAUGGUGAAAUGGUAAAACAGAGGGAAAGCGACUAAAGCCAGACCAUUAUCCGGCAUAUGCAAAUGCCGGUUCAACGUGAAAAUAUUCCACAUACACACGCUCGCCCGCUUUGAGUGCGGUGUGCAUUUGAAAGGUGGAUCCGUCAUCCGCCGUGUUGGCUGUACCACGGGGCGUAUGACAAACUUUUUCAUCCGUGCUGCGGCGGCAGCUCCACAAUUCAGUUACGAGUUGGAAAAUGAUGAUUUCCGCCGCACUAAGCAAUUUGGCACCAGGUGCCAGUUGCUCCACCGUUUCCUCUGAUUGAAUUGGGUUGAUGACAACGAUUUCGAAUCUGCAGCAGCGAUGGCUGCACUUCGCUGCAGUUAUGAAAUUAAAAUUAAAAUUAAAAUUAAAAAGUUUUGGUUUUUUGGGCUCCACAAGGAUGCCUCCCAACUGUGAAUUUUUCCUGGUUUUUCUCCUUUACUUUUCUGUCUGCUACGUGAGAAGAUUGCCCAAAAAAGCUUUCGCUAGGCUCUUUCAGCUUUUCAGGAGCAAAGACUCCCUAAGGCUUUGGCAUAUUUUCGUCGGUUUGCGCUGAUUCUGCGGCAAGUUCAUUGCCGAUAUAUAAACAGAGACUGAAAGCGGGUCCAUGAAAUAAAAAUUUAUUUCAACUUUGUCAGUUUUUGGUUAGUUGACGUUUUGCAUAUUAAACAGGCGCCAGGGACUGCGAGUUAGAGAUGCCAGGAGACAAAGUCUUUGAGAAAAUGAUAAGCUCAGCUAAACGUGCGCCGUUGUGGCACGUGAUGCAGCUAAGAAAAUAUAAGAAUCGAAAAAACAAAAUCCGAAAGCAAAAAAGAAAUAAGAAAAAGAAACAAAAAACGUGGAAAAAUAGCUGACAAAUUGCCAGCGAACUUGCCCCAAAAGUGGGCGUGACCGAGUCGCGUUGACGUAUGUGACAUGGGCGCCAAAUUGGGUUUAUUUGAGAUGAAGAAGCUCGAAGCCAUGCAAUGCAUUGCAUUUCUCUGUACGAGUAUAUAUACACUUCCAUAUAGUUGACGAGCAGGAGCUUGGACUAACAAACUCAAUUUGCCAAUUUGCCGUUCAAAUAUAGACGAAUAAAAGAAUGCAAUAAAAAAUAUAUCCAAAAUUAGUAGGUAGCAUGCGAAUUUUGUGUGUUUUUUAGAUGGUCGGGGGAACGUUUAUACGUUUAGGUGCAAGUUUAUGAUUGUGUGGUGAAUGGCAAACUCGUUCCGCAUCGAAUUGCAAAUGCAAAUAACUGCUGGCGGUACCGGAAAAUACGAAAAUAUAUUUGCAUGUCAAAAUGAAAUUCCCAAAUUAAAACCACCUCUGUUAAAAUGUUGUCGCAUUUGCUUAGCUAUUAAUGUAUGUGCAACUUAUUAAAGUGAGUUGUGAGUGCAAUCUCUUCAUUUGAAUCCUAUACCAACUGGUGUUAAAAGUGCCAUUUUUUGUUGCGAACCGGCGACUUCUCUUCUUUUAUUUCCCCAUUUGCUUUUCAUAUUUGCAUGGCGAAAUGAGAAAUCCACGUGGUAGCCGGGACGCAAACCAGGUGCAGCGCUGCCAAAAGGAAAAACCUCGAGGAAAGAACGAAAAACAGGACGAAGAACAAGGGAAUCUGGCCAAGACACAUUUGAACAAAUUCAAUAAAAACAAAUAACACCGUGCUGAGUGCAUUGAGUGCAGACUAAAGUAAAUUUUAUCAACUUUUAAAUCAAAUAUUAAACUUUAGUUUGCGUUCUCCUUUCUUUGGCGCGUGUUUCAGUCCAAACUUUGUAAUAAACUUUUCCUGGUCUUUUCUCAA